rnacentral:rRNA from 1 species
UACAGAGGUCUCAAGCGUUGUUCGGAUUCAUUGGGCGUAAAGGGUGCGUAGGCGGCGCGGUAAGUCGGGUGUGAAAUCUCGGAGCUUAACUCCGAAACUGCAUUCGAUACUGCCGUGCUUGAGGACUGGAGAGGAGACUGGAAUUUACGGUGUAGCGGUGAAAUGCGUAGAUAUCGUAAGGAAGACCAGUGGCGAAGGCGGGUCUCUGGACAGUUCCUGACACUGAGACACGAAGGUCAGGGGAGCAAACGGG